rnacentral:lncRNA from 1 species
GGUGGGAUUUCCUUCUCCAAUGAUGGCCAAGGAGUUAUUGACGGUGGUUUGCGGUGGUUUGCGGUGGUUCCUCAACCUUGAGCUAGUCUCAUGGUAUGACGCUAUACAAGCUGAGAUUUUCAUUCGAUGUGGAUGAAUUUAGGUUUGGUUUGAUGGUCUUACCCACUGAUUCUCAGAAAGAGGGCUAUCAAAACUUUCUAAUUAGGCCAAUAUGGCCGAAUCGGACUAUCCAAGAAAGCUCAAUGGUGGCUCAGCCCCCUGCUGUGGAGUAAUGGUUUUACUCUUGGGGCUAAUAUAUUCCUAAACCUUUGAAGGUAGAUGAGAAUUUUUUGAAGAUUUUUUAUUAUUGUAUGGUAAAAAAUGCAGAACAAUAUUGGUGAAGUUUUAAUGGAAUCUUACUGAGGAGUUUCUCAACUCAUCAUAUUAUGUCUG